AGGAGGAACAGCCCACUUGGCGGGGCCAGCUCUGGAGCCCAGGAUUCAGCUCCCGCGCUAACCACGGAGCUCUCCGUCUGCAGGGCCUGGAGGCUCGGGGCCGGG
rnacentral:pre_miRNA from 1 species